rnacentral:rRNA from 1 species
UACAGGGGGGGCAAGCGUUGUUCGGAAUUACUGGGCGUAAAGGGCUCGUAGGUGGCCAACUAAGUCAGACGUGAAAUCCCUCGGCUCAACCGGGGAACUGCGUCUGAUACUGGAUGGCUUGAAUCCGGGAGAGGGAUGCGGAAUUCCAGGUGUAGCGGUGAAAUGCGUAGAUAUCGGGAGGAACAUCAGUGGCGAAGGCGGCUACCUGGCCCAAUACUGACACUCAGGUGCGACAGCGUGGGGAGCAAACAGG